rnacentral:lncRNA from 1 species
AGAGGAACCCAGAAAGGUAAAAUUAAGAAAAUAGGAGAAAAUUAUUUUUCCAAAUUUAUAGUUUUUGAAAUGGAAUAAGAUGUACUGGGUUUUAUUUGAGUACUUCAUUUGAUGUUUCACCCGUUAAUUCUUUUUUUUUUAUUGCAUGCGUUGGAAUUUUCCAGAUUAUUCUUUCUGGGUUUUGUUAAAUGUGGAGAUUGACAAUGACCUCACCGUUUGCUUUCUUCUUUUAAUCAAUUUAUGGGAGGCUUGUGAAUUGUACCUAAUUUUUUUUUACACUACUUUCUAGAUUUGAAACAGAAAUUGCCGUCAUCACAUACAACCUCUCCACCAUGAAAUUCUCCGACUUCUCUGCCUUGCGUUAUCUCGUACCAUGUUUUUCUACACCAACAUUUUCCACUUUAUUGAAGCAC